rnacentral:lncRNA from 1 species
GAACAACCUUUAUCUUUAACAAAGACGAGGGGUCUAAUUGAUUCUUAGUGUUCUCUCAAGUUAUCAACUUUUGAUGUGACUUUUAAAAAUUCCAGUGUUGGUGGCUAAUACAACUGUAGUUCCAGUAAUGUAACAUUAUUAUGGAGAUUAAACUCCUGAUUUGUUUGGUUUGUUAUAUGUAGAAAUCCCAAGGCAAUUGGAUUCCUGUCUUUGUGUGUGUGUUGUAAAUUCGAAACUACAAUUCAUUGCAAUUAGCAUGUUAAUACCAUGUAUAAUGUGCUAAUUUACCUCCUUUUUAAUAUGCUUUUUGCUUGUUAAUGCUUACUCUUUAAGAACCUAUGUAAGCGUGUUCUUGUGGGGAUUGGGUGUGUAAGCAUGGUUGGCUGCAGGUGGGGCGUCUGUGUAUGUGCCAGCUGAUGAUCUUGUAAUUUCUCGUUGCUCCUUUAUGGUUCUCAUGUUUUGUGGGAUCUUUGUAUUCGGCACCUCUCCCCCUAGCUCAUGGCUCCAUUAGCCCCCAUCUCAUCUUUCUUGUGUUCCACAGCCUCUACAAUAGGAUACUCCUUAGGCAUGACUUCAUUAAACUUGACUUCAUAAAACUUUCAGUUAGAUAUAUGGGUUGUAUACUGUUGCUAUUCAUCAAUAAUGUUAUUCUUGGCAAAUAAUAUGCUACUCUGUUUUAGUUGGUUCGAUGUGAGUUAGUGUUUUAAAAAGCUAUUGAGGCUAUGCAAAUUAGCCUUGAGGCUAUAGUCUCAAUUAAGCUCAAGCCUCACCUAGUCGAGGCUCAACUCAAGCCUCACCUAGUCGAGGCUCAACUCAAGCCUCAUGGGCUAUAGCCUCAAAUAUUCGAAGGGUUUUUGGUCAUUGUGGGCUUUUGAUAUAUUUAUAUAUAUAUAUAUAUUUUCUAAUAGGGCUAGGCCUCAAUAUUCAAUGAGUUCUAAUGAGUUAUAUUGCCAACUAUGAUUUUGUUGGCUUUUGAUAUAGAUUUCUUGAGUUUUGUAUCAGGUUCCCUCUUGGUUAAACUUUUUGAAAAAUAAGAACUUAGUUGACUUCCAAUUAACCUUUUAAAUGGAAUGGAAAAAGAGAGUUUGAGAAGCAAGAAUAGAGAAAUUGGUACGAAUUAAAGAAAAAACGAAAAAAGAAUAGUAGGAUUGUUGACUGUCCUAGUGUGUUUGUGUGUGUAUUAUUUUAUCAUUGAUAGAUAGGAAAAAAAUAAUGAAGAUUGGGUGGAUAUUAACACUAAUAGGGAUAAUAUAGCAAUUAGAUAUGAUUAUAAUAUCCCUUGGAGGGUCCUACUAGUGAUGGUGACAGUAAUGUUAAAAAUUAUUUGAUGAAACUAUGAGAGAAGGUAAAAUGUUUGAAGAGAAAAAAUAAACUAAAUUAGAAACUAUUAACAAAAUAAUGAAGAAGAAGAUUGAGUGGAUAAUAUAGCAUUUAGAUAUGAUUAUAUCCCUUGGAGAGGAUCUUACUAGAGAUAGUGGUUAGUG